GCUUGUCUCAAAGAUUAAGCCAUGCAUGUCUCAGUAUAAGCUUUUACACGGCGAAACUGCGAAUGGCUCAUUAAAACAGUUAUCGUUUCUUUGGUGGUUAUUGAUUACAUGGAUAACCGUGGUAAUUCUAGAGCUAAUACAUGCGCCCAGACCCAACUUUUAGGAAGGGUUGUAUUUAUUAGAUAAAGCCAACGCUGGGUAAAACCAGUUUCCCUUGGUGAUUCAUAAUAAUUAAGCGGAUCGCAUGGCCUUGUGCUAGCGACAGUCCACUCGAUUUUCUGCCCUAUCAUGGUUGAGAUUGUAAGAUAGAGGCUUACAAUGCCUACAACGGGUAACGGGGAAUUAGGGUUCGAUUCCGGAGAGGGAGCCUGAGAAACGGCUACCACAUCCAAGGAAGGCAGCAGG
rnacentral:rRNA from 1 species